rnacentral:rRNA from 1 species
ACAUCCAGAGAACUUUAGCAGAGAUGCUUUGGUGCCUUCGGGAACUCUGAGACAGGUGCUGCAUGGCUGUCGUCAGCUCGUGUUGUGAAAUGUUGGGUUAAGUCCCGCAACGAGCGCAACCCUUUAUCCUUUGUUGCCAGCGGUUCGGCCGGGAACUCAAAGGAGACUGCCGGUGAUAAACCGGAGGAAGGUGGGGAUGACGUCAAGUCAUCAUGGCCCUUACGGCCAGGGCUACACACGUGCUACAAUGGCGCAUACAAAGAGAAGCGACCUCGCGAGAGCAAGCGGACCUCAUAAAGUGCGUCGUAGUCCGGAUUGGAGUCUGCAACUCGACUCCAUGAAGUCGGAAUCGCUAGUAAUCGUAGAUCAGAAUGCUACGGUGAAUACGUUCCCGGGCCUUGUACACACCGCCCGUCACACCAUGGGAGUGGGUUGCAAAAGAAGUAGGUAGCUUAACCUUCGGGAGGGCGCUUACCACUUUGUGAUUCAUGACUGGGGUGAAGUCGUAACAAGGUAGGCGUAGCGAG